rnacentral:lncRNA from 10 species
GAGAACCUGAUAUUCUCCUCUUACAGAAGAGGGCAUUGGGGCCCAGAAAGGGCAGUGACUUGCCCAGAGUCUUGCAGCUUAGCUGGGGCAUGGCUGGCUGUGGAGUCCAGCCUCCAGGCCUCCCUCUCCAUGAGGUGCUCUUUCCUGCUGCCCUGAGCUGCACUUCUGCUUGCCACAGUGUGGGAGUGCCCUAGGCAGGAGAAAGGAGUGUAUUGUAGGUGCAGUGUAGAGUGAGGAGGGCAGUGCGGGUGCAGUGUAGAGUGAGGAGGGCAGUGUGGGUGCAGUGAAGAGUGUGGAGGGCAGUGUGGGUGCAGUGAAGAGUGAGGAGGGCAGUGUGGGUGCAGUGGAGAGUGAGGAGGGCAGUGCGGGUGCAGUGUAGAGUGAGGAGGGCAGUGUGGGUGCAGUGAAGAGUGUGGAGGGCAGUGUGGGUGCAGUGGAGAGUGAGGAGGGCAGUGUGGGUGGAGUGGAGAGAGUGGAGGGUAGUGUGGGUGCAGUGGAGAGUGUGGAGGGCAGUGUGGGUGCAGUGUAGAGUGUGGAGGGCAGUGUGGGUGGAGUGGAGAGUGAGGAGGGCAGUGUGAGGACAGUGGAGAGUGAGAAGGGCAGUGUGAGGACAGUGGAGAGUGUUGAGGGCAGUGUGAGGACAGUGGAGAGUGAGGAGGACAGUGUGGGGACAGUGGAGAGUGUUGAGGGCAGUGUGGGUGCAGUUGAGAGUGUGGAGGGCAGUGUAGGUGCAGUGUAGAGGGGCUGACACCGUGUGGUGGGCCACCUGCUUCCCCUCCUUACUCUGGGCACUGGCCAU